UGGUACCGUCAAACUCUACAAGUAUUAGUCAUAGAGCACUUCUUUCCAUCUGACAGGAUUUUACGACCCAAGGCCUUCAUCAUCCACGCGGCGUCGCUGCGUCAGGGUUGCCCCCAUUGCGCAAUAUUCCUCA
rnacentral:rRNA from 1 species